GUGAAAGACUUUUUGCUGUACUUGCUAUUGGGCAAAAUCCCGUCUGCUACCUGGUAUUCAUGUAGAGUAAACUGCAAUGUGGAAACAGAUGGUAUGACCAAGUGGGAGAGAGACUCUAUCUGCAAAACUGGGAGAGCUUCACUCUGGCUGGGGGUGGAAGAGGAAUGAACAAGUCCACCCCAGUGUGAAAAUAAGAUGAAAAUAUAAAAGAAUGUCAGCGUUGAAGGUUACUGCUUUUGAUUUUGACAGUAUCCCAGAACCGUGUGGGCACAUGAACAUUCCAAAGAAGAUACUUCCAGGUUCUUCACAUGCUGGAUAUGCACAGAGGUUGAGAACAGAAGGAAUGAAACAGAUCAUCCCAGAAAGACCACAUAAUCAAAAAUCACCACUUUCCAUACAGUAUGUCCUGCUAUGA
rnacentral:lncRNA from 10 species